GACGAACGCUGGCGGCGUGCCUAAUACAUGCAAGUCGAACGCACAGUUUAUACCGUAGCUUGCUACACCAUAGACUGUGAGUUGCGAACGGGUGAGUAACGCGUAGGUAACCUGCCUGGUAGCGGGGGAUAACUAUUGGAAACGAUAGCUAAUACCGCAUAAUAUUAAUUAUUGCAUGAUAAUUAAUUGAAAGGUGCAAUUGCACCACUACCAGAUGGACCUGCGGUGUAUUAGCUAGUAGGUGAGGUAACGGCUCACCUAGGCGACGAUACAUAGCCGAGCUGGGAGGGUGAUCGGCCACACUGGGACUGAGACACGGCCCAGACUCCUACGGGAGGCAGCAGUAGGGAAACUUCGGAAAUGGACGAAAGUCUGACCGAACAACGCCGCGGGAGUGGAGAAGGUUCUCGGAGCGUAAAGGUCUGUUGUAAGAGAAGAACGGGUGUCAGAUUGGAAAGUUCACGCUGUGACGGUAUCUUAACAGAAAGGGACGGCUAACUACGUG
rnacentral:rRNA from 1 species